rnacentral:rRNA from 1 species
AGAUUAAGUUAUUAAGGGCGCACGGUGGAUGCCUUGGCACUAGAAGCCGAUGAAGGACGUUACUAACGACGAUAUGCUUUGGGGAGCUGUAAGUAAGCUUUGAUCCAGAGAUUUCCGAAUGGGGAAACCCAGCAUGAGUUAUGUCAUGUUAUCGAUAUGUGAAUACAUAGCAUAUCAGAAGGCACACCCGGAGAACUGAAACAUCUUAGUACCCGGAGGAAGAGAAAGAAAAUUCGAUUCCCUUAGUAGCGGCGAGCGAAACGGGAAGAGCCCAAACCAACAAGCUUGCUUGUUGGGGUUGUAGGACACUCUGUACGGAGUUACAAAGGACGACAUUAGACGAAUCAUCUGGAAAGAUGAAUCAAAGAAGGUAAUAAUCCUGUAGUCGAAAAUGUUGUCUCUCUUGAGUGGAUCCUGAGUACGACGGAGCACGUGAAAUUCCGUCGGAAUCUGGGAGGACCAUCUCCUAAGGCUAAAUACUCUCUAGUGACCGAUAGUGAACCAGUACCGUGAGGGAAAGGUGAAAAGCACCCCGGAAGGAGAGUGAAAUAGAACCUGAAACCGUGUGCUUACAAGUAGUCAGAGCCCGUUAAUGGGUGAUGGCGUGCCUUUUGUAGAAUGAACCGGCGAGUUACGAUUUGAUGCAAGGUUAAGCAGUAAAUGUGGAGCCGUAGCGAAAGCGAGUCUGAAUAGGGCGUUUAGUAUUUGGUCGUAGACCCGAAACCAGGUGAUCU